rnacentral:rRNA from 1 species
UACGUAGGUGGCAAGCGUUGUCCGGAUUUACUGGGCGUAAAGGGCUUGUAGGCGGUUCGUUAAGUCCGGUGUGAAAUCUCCCGGCUCAACUGGGAGGGGUCAUCGGAUACUGGCGGACUUGAGGUGGGCAGAGGAAAGCAGAAUUCCCGGUGUAGCGGUGAAAUGCGUAGAUAUCUGGAGGAACACCGGUGGCGAAGGCGGCAUCCUGGACCGGCAUUGACACUGAGGAGCGAAAGCCAGGGGAGCAAACGGG